rnacentral:rRNA from 1 species
UACGAAGGGGGCUAGCGUUGUUCGGAAUCACUGGGCGUAAAGCGCGUGUAGGCGGUCUGCCAAGUCUGAUGUGAAAGCCCUGGGCUCAACCCAGGAAGUGCGUCAGAUACUGGUGGACUGGAGUGGCGGAGAGGAUGGCGGAAUUCCCGGUGUAGAGGUGAAAUUCGUAGAUAUCUGGAGGAACACCGGUGGCGAAGGCGGCAUCCUGGACCGGUAUUGACACUGAGGCGCGAAAGCCAGGGAGCAAACAGGG